UACGGAGGGUGCGAGCGUUGUCCGGAAUCACUGGGCGUAAAGGGCGCGUAGGCGGCCUGAUAAGUAGGGGGUGAAAUCCUGCGGCUUAACCGCAGGGCUGCCUUCUAAACUGUCGGGCUAGAGCACGGUAGAGGCAGAUGGAAUUCCCGGUGUAGCGGUGGAAUGCGUAGAGAUCGGGAAGAACAUCAGUGGCGAAGGCGGUCUGCUGGGCCGUUGCUGACGCUGAGGCGCGACAGCGGUGGGGAGCAAACAGG
rnacentral:rRNA from 1 species